GCUCGGGUGGCCUAAUGGUUAGAGCGCCCACCUCAGAUGCAUGAGGUCAUGGGUUUGAUCCCCGGUCAAGUCA